GGGUUGUGAGGUUAAGCGACUAAGCGUACACGGUGGAUGCCCUGGCAGUCAGAGGCGAUGAAGGACGUGCUAAUCUGCGAAAAGCGUCGGUAAGGUGAUAUGAACCGUUAUAACCGGCGAUGUCCGAAUGGGGAAACCCAGUGCAAUUCGUUGCACUAUCGUUAACUGAAUACAUAGGUUAACGAGGCGAACCGGGGGAACUGAAACAUCUAAGUACCCCGAGGAAAAGAAAUCAACCGAGAUUCCCCCAGUAGCGGCGAGCGAACGGGGAGCAGCCCAGAGUCUGAAUCAGCUUGUGUGUUAGUGGAACGGUCUGGAAAGUCCGACGGUACAGGGUGAUAGUCCCGUACACCAAAAUGCACAGGCUGUGAACUCGAAGAGUAGGGCGGGACACGUGGUAUCCUGUCUGAAUAUGGGGGGACCAUCCUCCAAGGCUAAAUACUCCUGACUGACCGAUAGUGAACCAGUACCGUGAGGGAAAGGCGAAAAGAACCCCGGCGAGGGGAGUGAAAAAGAACCUGAAACCGUGUACGUACAAGCAGUGGGAGCACCUUCGGGUGUGACUGCGUACCUUUUGUAUAAUGGGUCAGCGACUUAUAUUCUGUAGCAAGGUUAACCGUAUAGGGGAGCCGCAGGGAAACCGAGUCUUAACUGGGCGUUAAGUUGCAGGGUAUAGACCCGAAACCCGGUGAUCUAGCCAUGGGCAGGUUGAAGGUUGGGUAACACUAACUGGAGGACCGAACCGACUAAUGUUGAAAAAUUAGCGGAUGACUUGUGGCUGGGGGUGAAAGGCCAAUCAAACCGGGAGAUAGCUGGUUCUCCCCGAAAGCUAUUUAGGUAGCGCCUCGUGAAUUCAUCUUCGGGGGUAGAGCACUGUUUCGGCUAGGGGGUCAUCCCGACUUACCAACCCGAUGCAAACUACGAAUACCGAAGAAUGUUAUCACGGGAGACACACGGCGGGUGCUAACGUCCGUCGUGAAGAGGGAAACAACCCAGACCGCCAGCUAAGGUCCCAAAGUCAUGGUUAAGUGGGAAACGAUGUGGGAAGGCACAGACAGCCAGGAUGUUGGCUUAGAAGCAGCCAUCAUUUAAAGAAAGCGUAAUAGCUCACUGGUCGAGUCGGCCUGCGCGGAAGAUGUAACGGGGCUAAACCAUGCACCGAAGCUGCGGCAGCGACACUAUGUGUUGUUGGGUAGGGGAGCGUUCUGUAAGCCUGCGAAGGUGUGCUGUGAGGCAUGCUGGAGGUAUCAGAAGUGCGAAUGCUGACAUAAGUAACGAUAAAGCGGGUGAAAAGCCCGCUCGCCGGAAGACCAAGGGUUCCUGUCCAACGUUAAUCGGGGCAGGGUGAGUCGACCCCUAAGGCGAGGCCGAAAGGCGUAGUCGAUGGGAAACAGGUUAAUAUUCCUGUACUUGGUGUUACUGCGAAGGGGGACGGAGAAGGCUAUGUUAGCCGGGCGACGGUUGUCCCGGUUUAAGCAUGUAGGCUGGUUAUCCAGGCAAAUCCGGAUAAUCAAGGCUGAGGUGUGAUGACGAGGCACUACGGUGCUGAAGUAACAAAUGCCCUGCUUCCAGGAAAAGCCUCUAAGCAUCAGGUAACAUCAAAUCGUACCCCAAACCGACACAGGUGGUCAGGUAGAGAAUACCAAGGCGCUUGAGAGAACUCGGGUGAAGGAACUAGGCAAAAUGGUGCCGUAACUUCGGGAGAAGGCACGCUGGUGUGUAGGUGAAGUCCCUGCGGAUGGAGCUGAGACCAGUCGAAGAUACCAGCUGGCUGCAACUGUUUAUUAAAAACACAGCACUGUGCAAACACGAAAGUGGACGUAUACGGUGUGACGCCUGCCCGGUGCCGGAAGGUUAAUUGAUGGGGUUAUCCGUAAGGAGAAGCUCUUGAUCGAAGCCCCGGUAAACGGCGGCCGUAACUAUAACGGUCCUAAGGUAGCGAAAUUCCUUGUCGGGUAAGUUCCGACCUGCACGAAUGGCGUAAUGAUGGCCAGGCUGUCUCCACCCGAGACUCAGUGAAAUUGAACUCGCUGUGAAGAUGCAGUGUACCCGCGGCAAGACGGAAAGACCCCGUGAACCUUUACUAUAGCUUGACACUGAACAUUGAGCCUUGAUGUGUAGGAUAGGUGGGAGGCUUUGAAGCGUGGACGCCAGUCUGCGUGGAGCCAACCUUGAAAUACCACCCUUUAAUGUUUGAUGUUCUAACGUUGGCCCCUUACCGGGGUUGCGGACAGUGUCUGGUGGGUAGUUUGACUGGGGCGGUCUCCUCCCAAAGCGUAACGGAGGAGCACGAAGGUUAGCUAAUCCUGGUCGGACAUCAGGAGGUUAGUGCAAUGGCAUAAGCUAGCUUGACUGCGAGCGUGACGGCGCGAGCAGGUGCGAAAGCAGGUCAUAGUGAUCCGGUGGUUCUGAAUGGAAGGGCCAUCGCUCAACGGAUAAAAGGUACUCCGGGGAUAACAGGCUGAUACCGCCCAAGAGUUCAUAUCGACGGCGGUGUUUGGCACCUCGAUGUCGGCUCAUCACAUCCUGGGGCUGAAGUAGGUCCCAAGGGUAUGGCUGUUCGCCAUUUAAAGUGGUACGCGAGCUGGGUUUAGAACGUCGUGAGACAGUUCGGUCCCUAUCUGCCGUGGGCGCUGGAGAAUUGAGGGGGGCUGCUCCUAGUACGAGAGGACCGGAGUGGACGCAUCACUGGUGUUCGGGUUGUCAUGCCAAUGGCACUGCCCGGUAGCUAAAUGCGGAAGAGAUAAGUGCUGAAAGCAUCUAAGCACGAAACUUGCCCCGAGAUGAGUUCUCCCUGAGACUUUAAGUCUCCUGAAGGAACGUUAAAGACGAUGACGUUGAUAGGCCGGGUGUGUAAGCGCAGCGAUGCGUUGAGCUAACCGGUACUAAUGAACCGUGAGGCUUAACCUUACAACGCCGAAG
rnacentral:rRNA from 1 species